rnacentral:rRNA from 1 species
AUUGAACGCUGGCGGCAUGCCCUACACAUGCAAGUCGAACGGCAGCACGGAGCUUGCUCUGGUGGCGAGUGGCGAACGGGUGAGUAAUAUAUCGGAACGUACCCAAGAGUGGGGGAUAACGUAGCGAAAGUUACGCUAAUACCGCAUACGAUCUAAGGAUGAAAGCAGGGGACCUUCGGGCCUUGUGCUCCUGGAGCGGCCGAUAUCUGAUUAGCUAGUUGGUGAGGUAAAGGCUCACCAAGGCAUCGAUCAGUAGCUGGUCUGAGAGGACGACCAGCCCCACUGGAACUGAGACACGGUCCAGACUCCUACGGGAGGCAGCAGUGGGGAAUUUUGGACAAUGGGGGCAACCCUGAUCCAGCAAUGCCGCGUGAGUGAAGAAGGCCUUCGGGUUGUAAAGCUCUUUUGUCAGGGAAGAAACGGUGAAGGCUAAUAUCCUUUGCUAAUGACGGUACCUGAAGAAUAAGCACCGGCUAACUACGUGCCAGCCGCCGCCGUAA